rnacentral:tRNA from 1 species
AAAGGGAGACCUAAUUCGGGUAGGAGACGAAAAAAAAGUAGUCGCUACCAAGAAUCAAUCCCAAAAGGUCGGAGCGAGGCGAAAUUGGCUUUCAAACUAGGUUCUGGGUUCACACAAGACCUGAAUCAGGAACAAGGGCUAUUAGCUCAGGUGGUUAGAGCGCACCCCUGAUAAGGGUGAGGUCCCUGGUUCGAGUCCAGGAUGGCCCACCUGCACAGGUGGCAAAAACAAGAGAAGCUCCGAAUCAGCACCUUAUCUUACUUACAUAGUAAGAGAGAAUGCUGGCUCUGAGUAAAGAGUCCAGAGGAACCUUGAAAACUGCAUAGAGCUAGGUGAAAAAGCCAAAAAAGAAGACCGCAAG